AGGACGAACGCUGGCGGCGUGCUUAACACAUGCAAGUCGAGCGGUAAGGCCUUUCGGGGUACACGAGCGGCGAACGGGUGAGUAACACGUGGGUGAUCUGCCCUGCACUUCGGGAUAAGCCUGGGAAACUGGGUCUAAUACCGGAUAUGACCUCCUAUCGCAUGGUGGGUGGUGGAAAGAUUUAUCGGUGCAGGGAUGGGCCCGCGGCCUAUCAGCUUGUUGGUGGGGUAAUGGCCUACCAAGGCGACGACGGGUAGCCGACCUGAGAGGGUGACCGGCCACACUGGGACUGAGACACGGCCCAGACUCCUACGGGAGGCAGCAGUGGGGAAUAUUGCACAAUGGGCGAAAGCCUGAUGCAGCGACGCCGCGUGAGGAUGACGGCCUUCGGGUUGUAAACCUCUUUCAGCAGGACGAAGCGCAAGUGACGUACCUGCAGAAGAAGCACCGGCUAACUACGUGCCAGCAGCCGC
rnacentral:rRNA from 1 species